rnacentral:lncRNA from 1 species
CAACACAACCUCAGAUGAUGUGAAAUAGGUCUAAGCUAUAACAUGCAGAUUGAAAAGAGUUUACAUUUUGUUAGAUAAUUUAUAUUAAGGCAUUAAAUAAUGUCCACAUUUUUAUUAAAACAUAUUUUUUUUCAAGAAAUUAUUAAAAUCGUAUGAUAACCCUGUUUGUAAGCUCUUAAAUUAUAUCAUCUCAACCAUACAUUUUUUCCAGUGAUGUCUUGUGGUAUGGUGGGGUAUGCAAAACGGGUCAACUUUGAGGACCUUUAUCCCUGAAUGUUUUGGCUUGCUCAGGUCCCAAACGUCACUUCCUGACCUCUUCUUCGAUGGGCGGAACGUUGGUUUAAAUCAAAAGGGAUGCUGUCAAAAAGUGAUUGGCCUGGAGCAGCUCGAGGCACCUCUAGUAGAGUCAUCUCUCCAGGCCUGGGCAGCUCGAGGACACCUCUAGUGGAGUCAUCUCUCCAGGCCUGGAGCAGCUCGAGGACACCUCUAGUGGAGUCAUCUCUCCAGGCCUGGAGCAGCUCGAGGACACCUCUAGUGGAGUCAUCUCUCCCCAGGCCUAGAGCAGCUCGAGGACACCUCUAGUAGAGUCAUCUCUCCAGGCCUGGAGCAGCUCGAGGACACCUCUAGUGGAGUCAUCUCCUCCAGGCCUGGAGCAGCUCGAGGACACCUCUAGUAGAGUCAUCUUCUCCAGGCCUGGAGCAGCUCGAGGACACCUCUAGUAGAGUCAUCUCUCCCCAGGCCUGGAGCAGCUCGAGGACACCUCUAGUGGAGUCAUCUCUCCCUAGGCCUAGAGCAGCUCGAGGACACCUCUAGUAGAGUCAUCUCUCCCCAGGCCUAGAGCAGCUCGAGGACACCUCUAGUAGAGUCAUCUCUCCAGGCCUGGAGCAGCUCGAGGACACCUCUAGUGGAGUCAUCUCUCCAGGCCUGGAGCAGCUCGAGGACACCUCUAGUAGAGUCAUCUCUCCAGGCCUGGAGCAGCUCGAGGACACCUCUAGUAGAGUCAUCUCUCCCAGGCCUAGAGCAGCUCGAGACACUCUAGUGGAGUCAUCUCUCCAGGCCUGGAGCAGCUCGAGGACACCUCUAAUAGAGUCAUCUCUCCCAGGCCUGGAGCAGCUCGAGGACACCUCUAGUAGAGUCAUCUCUCCCCAGGCCUGGAGCAGCUCGAGGACACCUCUAGUAAGUCAUCUCUCCAGGCCUGGCAGCUCGAGGACACCUCUAGUGGAGUCAUCUCUCCCAGGCCUAGAGCAGCUCGAGGACACCUCUAGUGGAGUCAUCUCUCCCCAGGCCUAGAGCAGCUCGAGGACACCUCUAGUAGAGUCAUCUCUCCCCCAGGC